CGGAGCAUAGCGCAGCCUGGUAGCGCGUCUCGUUCGGGACGAGAAGGUCGCAGGUUCGAAUCCUGCUGUUCCGACCA
rnacentral:tRNA from 3 species